ACUAUGUCGCCUUUGCCCAGCAUUCAGCCCUUGUCAUUGACGGGACAGAUGCAGGUGGAGGAUGAGAGCAGGCUGCCAGAGCUGAGUGUGGGCAGGGGUGGAGGCAACCUGAAGUAGACACUCUGCUGGGUGCUGGAGCUGCCAAACCCUGCUGGUAAAACAGAGAUGCCCGAAGGAUUUGGAGCCAGACAGGGAGGCUGGGUGGGGGAAACAGCCCAACAUGGUGGGCUAGGGCAUGGGCCCUGGACAACUCCUGUCUGGUGGAGUGCUGGCUUUGCAGUGAGGAUGUGACCUUAGGGAGCUGGGAAGAUUGAAGAGCUCAUUUUUGAACCUCAUUCCUUUCUUGGUUUCCUCAUCUGUAAAGGGGUCAUGUUACUAGGGUCUCGUGUAAACUCUGGCCCCUUGGCCGGCACUCAGCUUCACAGGGGUUGUCUCGGUCCCCAGCUCUCGGGUGCCCCAGCUGGUGAGAGGGUACUGCGCCAGGCGCAGCAGCUCUGCGAGGACAGUGACCCAGGACACCUACCCUUCUCGGCAGCUCAGCCCCUGAAUUCGCACCAUAAAUUUCAAUGAAGUCAUCUGAAGAUCUCACUUGGUUCCUUCUCCUUCCAGAGGCGGGUGGGUGGGAGGCCCAGCUCCCCUUUCAGAGAGGGCCUUCCUCACAUGCUACCCUGUCCAGCCCCACACCGUUUUCGGUGACAGAGGCCUGGACAGAUCCCUGGGUUCAGAGCCCACCCCACUGGAAGUACAGGAGACUGAGUCAGAGGCCAGUCAGGCCGAUGAGAUCAACAGUGAUUUGCCUCCAAGCCCUGAUUCCUCCCUGAGGAAUGCUCCUGAGAAAACGCUGGCUCGCACUCACAGCUGGAGGCUUAAAGUGUCCACUGGGGCAGUUCAACCCUGUCUGCGGGACCCAUCUCCAAGACGUGAGUUGGCACAGCCAUCAGUUCAUCUCCAUGGAUGUCUCCACGGGCAACCUGAGCUCCCACGUGGCAUGGUGAUGGUUCCGAAAGGAGACAAGAGAGACACAGCCACAGAGGACGAGGCCAUAUGAGAUGGAGGCAGAGACUGGAGAGAUGCAGCCAUAAGCACAAGCCAAGGAUGCGCGGGGCCACCAGGAGCUGGGGGAGGGGCCCCAUCAAUGAACAAAUGCAGACAACUCUUCCUGGAGUUUUGCAUUAAAGACAAGAAGCUGGGGGCACAGCGAGGGGGACAUGAGGUCAAGGGGCUGCUGCUUUGUUAGGUAGGGGAGAUUGAGCAUGUUUGAAUCCUGAUGGGAAUGGACAAGCAGCAGGAGCAUCUGAUGGCACAGCAACCAGGGGGCCACCCCUUAAGGACAGGUGGGCCGGCUUGCCUUGGAGCAUGGGUGCUUGCUCACAGGCUGGGGGCAAGGCACAGAUGCGGGAGGCACAGACGCGGUGGUGGGAGCAGCUGGGUCCAUCUUCUCCCAGCUCUGGGCACAGGUGGGAGGCGCGGUGCGUUCUUUCCCUGCAGGCUUCCUGUGCUUCGCCCCAAACCAUCUCCCCAGGUCUGAAUUCCUCUGCUGGUCCAGGAGGGUCUCAGUGUGGUGGGACAAACUUGUUCCAUUGGUGGAUGGAGACACAGUGCAGACAGAGGCUGCAAGCAUCGGAGGGCGUGUCCACGUGGCAGUGUUGGUGUCAUGGCCAUAAGCUUGGCGCUUCCUACAGACUCCAGCCUUGCAUUUUCAGCAGCUGAAGCUGUUCACAGCAUCCUUCUCACAGGAGUUUUGGGAGCAUAACCAGUUGAGUUGUCUCCAGGAGUACGGAAUUUCCCUCUUGUUUCUGCCCACCUGAGGGGCUGCACUUGGACCCUGCCAUGGGAAGAGAUCUGUUCCUCUCUGCCUCCUGGGGGACCCCUCCUUGUGUGAGUCCCCUCUGAAGCCCUGCAGAACCUGGUCUGGGUCCUGAACAGUCCUGCCGAGGCCUGGCCUGUUGGACACAGAUGCUCAAAAUCUCCUCAGAGCACGCUGGCCCCUGUGGAGUGGCUCCUGUUCCUGGGGGGCUGAAGUGAAUGAGGGUGUUUCUCUGAUCCGUAAGAGCCUCCUGCCCAUUCAUCCAUCAACAGCCUCUGGGGACACCUUCUGCAGCAGGAAUCACUGGUGUUGGGUUGAUCUAUGAACAUGAGACACAGAAACACCAGCUGGAGGAACCCAUGAGGCCCAGCGGCAGGAACCAGCUUAGUCCAUGGGCCACUGAGUGCCCGCACCAGGGCCCCGGGGCUUUCUGACAGCAGAACAACAGGAGUCAUCCAAACCCUGGAGUGCAGAGGGCAGGACGGGAGAGGCCUUUGCUCCCCCACGGCAGGCCAGGGAGGUGGACAGGCUGGGAGCCUGAAGCCUGAGCAGCCGGAGGCUCGCUCGUUCUCCCAUGGUCACUGUGUUCCCGGAGCCUCAACCACGGGGCAGUGCCUGGUGGGUGUGGUGUCUUGGUGGCAGCCACUGCCUGGCUGUUCUCAGGACCCCAAUCCCAGGUGAAGGCUGCAGUCCUCUUGUGCUGUGUGUGGACGAUUCAGCUCCGUGGGUGGCCACCUUGCCAUGGGGCCACAGCAGCCAUUCCAGAGGCUCCCCCAGUGCCCUCCUCGCCCAGGGUGGGGGUGCUCCCGGGUGUGGUCCAGCUGAGGAGUCUCACCUGCAGGAAAGGUGGCACGUGACGGCUUGCUGGCCUGCGAAGUCUGCCUGGUGGCCAUGGCUCAGGGGCCUGUGUCUCCUGGAUGCCCCCAGCGGGGCCUCUCUUGAAGGGACUUUGUGCUCCUGCCAGGAGAAAACAGCCCUAACAGCUGCCUCCUGGGCCGUUUCCAAACAUUCGUGUGCCAGGUCAGAGAGCACCAGUUCCUUGCCCUUUUGGGUGGUUCCCAACGUGUGGGGUUGGGGCCCUGGCAGCUUCGAACCACCAGCCCCCUUUCACUGAGCGGUUCCUCAUCACCAAGCCUCAGCCAGAGAUGUUAAACUGGAAAAACAAUCACGGACCCCCCGGCGGGGGAAGCAGCUUCUGGUCUGGGGACAGUCAUGAGCACUGCGUGCAGCUGCCCGUGUCCCUUCUUGGUGCCUGGCGGGUAUCAGGGCUCACCCUUGGCCUGGCCACACCUACCGCCUCUCAGGCCCACGCCUCUUCCCGGAAGACACCUGGAGGCUUGAACACCGGCUCACGCCCCUUCCCGAAGAAACCUGGAGGCUCCGACACCGGCCCACGCUCCUUCCGGAAGAAACCUGGAGGCUUGGACGCUGGCCCAUACCCAUUUUUGGACACCGGGGGCUUCAACAUGUGUGGCGUCAGCUCCUCAGCUCUCUCUUCCCUCAGCAUCCCACUGACCCGAAAUUCCAGGAGAUCCCAAGAUGGGCCAAAAACAAAACAAGAAAACAACAAAAACACCCUCUGCAGAAAGUAGAGAGAGGAGGCUCAGGGUGAAGGUGUGAAGUGCUGUGCCCGGCACAAAGCUCACCCGGACAGAGCGGCUCCUUCCCAUCUGAAGCUCCCAUUUUCCGACAGAAAUGAGUUCCGACACGCACUCCGCCGCUGCUCUCUCUCCGCUUUGCAAAGCAGGAACUCAUGAUGUCUGAUGAGAAUCCACUCUGCUCUGGUCUGAGCUGGGACAAUCUUCGUUUGUCCUCUGCCUGUCCAACCCAGCCCUCGCCUGCAGGGCAUCUCAGAGCCCAGCACCUUCCCGGACGCUCCGCUGAGCCCAGAGCCACUUGGAUCUCAGGAACAGCAGAGGGAGGGUGGCCACAGGGUCUUAGCACCGAACCAACAAGUCCGAGGCUGGACAUCUGAGCAGCGGGCGGUUGACAGGGUCCAUGGGCUGACCCCGCGGGCAGAGGACAGGGGUCUCUGCCUCACCCGCUUCCACUGUCCUCGGGUGCACCUGGCCAAGGCCGUCAGCAAACCGAGCCAGGCCUGUGUCCUGGUCCCCUCAUGGGCUCAUGGUCCUCCUGCCACCCUGCGAGAACACCCCCGUGCGUGCUGCCUGCAGCUCCCAGCCGCGAACGGCAGAGGCCCAGUCCCGUCUUCACACCCUCAUCCCGCCUGGCUUUGCAGCGACGUCACCUUUGCCUGGCAACAUUCAGGCGGGGCUGCUCAGGCCUGCUGAUUCCAUCAUUUAAAGAUGCCCAUUUCUUCUAAGCCAGGGAUUUUAUGACUCUAAGGAUUAGAAGCUGUUAUCCCAACCAACCCUGGAGCACUCUAUUCUGAUUUUAUGGUAAGCUUCACUAAUAAACUGUUUAAAACAUAU